CACGGGGGGAGCAAGCGUUGUUCGGAAUCACUGGGCGUAAAGCGCACGUAGGCGGAUUUUUAAGUCAGGGGUGAAAUCCUGGAGCUCAACUCCAGAACUGCCUUUGAUACUGGGAAUCUCGAGUCCGGGAGAGGUGAGUGGAACUGCGAGUGUAGAGGUGAAAUUCGUAGAUAUUCGCAAGAACACCAGUGGCGAAGGCGGCUCACUGGCCCGGUACUGACGCUGAGGUGCGAAAGCGUGGGGAGCAAACAGG
rnacentral:rRNA from 1 species